rnacentral:rRNA from 1 species
CGGACCAAGGAGUCCAACAUGUGCGCGAGUCUAAGGGUGUUCUAAACCCGGAGGCGAAAUGAAAGUGAGCCCCUGGUGGGCAGGCCGAUCCCCUGUCCCUAGCCCCUGGCCCGGUUUGGCGUUGCGUGAAUGAAUUUCCGCGGCGCCGGCCAGGUUGGGGUCUUGGGCGGCCCCACGAGGGGAGAUGGGGCGCAGGCCGACCUUAUCCUGAUGUCCGCCGGCAAGUACCUGAGAGCGCAACCGUUGGGACCCGAAAGAUGGUGAACUAUGCCUGGCGAGGACGAAGCCAGAGGAAACUCUGGUGGAGGUCCGAAGCAGUUCUGACGUGCAAAUCGAUUGUCAGAGCUGGGUAUAGGGGCGAAAGACUAAUCGAACCAUCUAGUAGCUGGUUCCCUCCGAAGUUUCCCUCAGGAUAGCUGGUGUUCGGAUUUUUCGAGCUUCAUCCGGUAAAGCGAAUGAUUAGAGGCCUUGGUGGUGCAAUGCCAUCAACCUAUUCUCAAACUUUAAAUGGGUGAGAGGUAGAGCUUGCUUGAGACGUGAAGCUCUAUGUUGUUAGAAUCAGAAUGCCUAGUGGGCCACU